ensembl:snRNA U6 U6 spliceosomal RNA
GUGCUUGCUUCGGCAGCACAUACACUAAAACUGGAACGAUACAGAGAAGAUUAGCACGGCCCCUGCG